rnacentral:lncRNA from 1 species
AAGCAACGGCUCCCCCUGCUUGCGCGCCCCGGCCGGGCCUUCGUUGGUACCACUCGAUCCCAUAAGAGGUCGCUAUCUCAUCUCAAGCUUUCUUGUCCGUAAUGCUGUCAUCUACUUGCUGCUGAGCUUCACAUCAUCCCUUGGCCCAUAAUCACCAGCAUGUUCUCUCUGGUAAGUAUUCAUGCAUAACUAUUCCUCCCUUCUUUUGCCACGUCAUUAACUAACCUAGUUAAUAUAUAUCGCAUGGUUGCUCUUUUAAUAAAUUUUACCUGAUGGCUCGAGAUAUAUGCAACCAGGCUAGAGACCUAGCAAGAUUAUCUUUGUAGAUAUAUCCUUCUGAAGAAAAUGAUAUGCUUUGCUUUUAAAUUCAUUUCUUACCUUAAUUAAUUUGUAUGCAACUAUCUGAAUGUAAUCUUAUGAAAGUAGAGUUAUUGUUUUCCCUGAUUGAUAGAGCUAUACCUUGCUCCUUCUCAAGGGAAGUUUUAUGAGUAGCUAGCUAGUUGGAUGGCAGAUUAUCCAAACCUGUCAUAAACUCAUAAUGUUACCGCUCCAUGCUAAUAUGUAGCAUGGAUAAUUUUCACCCAUCGUCGUUUUCAAGUUUGUUGAAGUGAUUCACACAUGACAUGUGUUUAUUAUGUAUGAUGUCAAGUUAAGUUGGGGUUUUUCCUCUUUAGCAUACUGAUCUAACAUGAUAAUCACUGUUUUUGAACUAAGCUGUUUCUUUCCAAUCAAAUUUGUAAAUAUUAUUGUUCUGCUCUAGAACUGUCCGUUCCCUGUGACUAUAUGACGUGUGUUGUAGUGAGUUAUGUGUUAUCUACUUCAGUACUUGUUUUCGGUAUCAUUUCUGUGCUAGUAGCGAGAAUCUUGACAGAGACCAACAUUCCUCACUGAUUCCAUGAGUUAUUCCAGGACUCUGCCUGGGAGAAUGCCUGAUUGUAUUUCCUUGUUGAUGUAGGUACUCUCAUAGUAUAGUAGAACAUAACCCGCGUUGAACUUGAUAAAACAAUGCAAAGAACAUGUUAGACUAAAAUUCCUGGUUCAUCAUUAAGAAAUAACUGAACAUGCAUCCAGAGACCUAGGUAACUUUCUAGGUGAUACGCCUGAGCUGCAUAUAAUCCGAAGUUGGUUUUUGUCUAUCCCAUAGCCCUUUGUUUACAUGAAAGAAAGAAUUAGCAGAUGAUGAGCUGAAUGCAUACUCACAUGCAUCCAUACAGAGAAGAAUGAUGGCCCAUCCUUUGGACCACAGAGGUAGAACGAUUAGUCAUCCUUAUUUAGAUUAAGUAAGUGUCACACACAGUAUUUAGAUCUUUUCUUGUUUAUUUCAAUGUAAUUUAAUGUUCUUCUGUGAUCUACUUGUUCUUGAUAAUCUCUAUACUAAAUUAGCUGGUAGAUUUUAAAAUUGUUACUGUACUUGUAUCGAGAAAAAGCAUGGAAGUACUAGAAACAUUUAAGGCCACGAGUAUAUAUAAACAUCUUCUUAGAAUCAUAACAAGGUCAAGUUCUUUUUUUUUGCGGGGUGAUAACAAGGUGAAGUUGAUCUGCUGAACUUUUUUGUUCUAUGACACGUGGUUUAUAGCAAGAAAAUCCUAUAGGAUAUGUUUUAUCUAUAAGACAGUCCUUGUGUAAGCCAGUUAAUUCUUCACUACUCUGUUGUACACAUGGUCUCAGCAGGAAAUAGACAUUUUGGUAGUGCAAAUGGCAUGACAGUAGAGCAUUAGACACUGGUGUAGAUGAGACAAUUCGUUUUUUUUGGGUUUCAUAAAACAUAUGUACAUUAUAUGCAUUAUAUUAUAUAUAUGAUAUGAUUUAAGAAUUUUGAGUUAGCAAAAUUGUCACGAAACUAUUUCUCUUCAGGUAAAAUGCCAUGUAAAAAAGAAUAUAAAUGAGCAUUGAUGUUUGUGCAUACUGGUACAGGCAUGGUUGUCAAGUUCAUUGAAAAACCAACAGCUUAUACAAUCGCAUCACCUUCUACAAAUCAUACUUGAUGAAGUUUCUAUGUUCUCCAUGCUCUUAUUUCGUAUAUGUAGCAACACGGUGAUCAUUAUAUUUAGUACAACGCACUGAAACACGUAAGCAGCGUACAGUACUACACACAUCAUAUUACAGUCUUAUAUUUACAUGGUACUAUGUAAAUCAAAUUACUUAUCUGUCCAAUAAUUGAUAUCACAUGAUGAUCAUCAUCAUCCUUAUUAUUAUAGCUCCUUAAGAUAAUAAUUAUGUAUGAGAUACUAUAUUUGAUUAAGGGCAUCGUCACUUCCAUGGAUCAACUUGACUGCUUGAUGUCGAGGUGGACGCAUAAUCAGUUGCCCCCUCUUGCUUCUCGUUGAGCUGAAGAAUGCCUCCAUCAGUAUAAUCUACACCCUUGGUCGCAUCAUUACUAAGCUGGGAUGCAACAAACUUGUCCAGGACUCUCCAGUCAGUAGUGGAUUGGUCGACAGCUGCAUGAUCGAUAAGUUGAACAUGGUGGUGGGCAUUGACUUGGUGAUCAUCGGGCGAUACCAAAAGAGAAUGGAAGGAAGAUGUCUCUAGGUCAUGAGGAAUAAUGGUGCUGAGGACAUCGUGAUGAUGAUGGUUUGGCAUUUGGAAUUGUAGCUUCAGUUCCCUCUUGUAGGUGUUGUUGAGCAUCUGGAGGUGUUGUUCUUGCAGCGCCGCCAUGCUGUGGUGAGGGGGCAUUAUUCCGUUCAUCGUCGGAGCGUUGAGGUCAUGCAUGAAGGGCCCAUCGUCAUCGACAUACCAGCAGGGUGCAUCAUGGUCCAGAUCCCUUCUUGUUGCCGGUAAUCUCUUCUUGAACACCCUGCAUACUACCCAACCUUCUUCCUGAAAUUAAUCAAUAUACAUGGUCAAUCGAUCAGGUUAGCUGGAGGGCUACUUAAUUUAAACACCGACAAACAACAUUUGGGAGUUGAGACAAGACGUAGAUGUAUAAAUUGGAGUAUAGCUUAAAAAUUGCUUGCCUGUGGAGGGCCAUUCUCGUUGGUCUCGAGGCGGUACUCGUGCAUGAUCCAGUCGGACUUGUGGCCAUUGGGAGCCCUGCCUUUGUAGUAGACGAGGGUCUUCCUCAUGCCAACCAAGCAGUGCUUUGCAUAGAUGGGCUUGUCUCUCCCCGUCGCCUUCCAGAACCCCGCCGCGGUUGCCCGGUUUGUCCGAGUCCCUGUUGGGUAUUUCUUGUCCUUGUGGCUGAAGAAGUACCAAUCGCUCUGCUCCUCCUCAGGACCUAUCCUACAUUUCUCUGCAUAUAGGAAUGAAUGAAGGAAUGUAC